rnacentral:rRNA from 1 species
CCUACGGGGGACUGCAGUGAGGAAUAUUGGUCACUGGGCGAGCGCCUGAACCAGCCAAGUCGCGUGCAGGAUGAAGGAUCUAUGGUUUGUAAACUUCUUUUAUAUGGGAAUAAAGUGAGGAACGUGUUCCUUUUUGUAUGUACCAUAUGAAUAAACAUCGGCUAACUCCGUGCCAGCAGCCGCGGUAAUACGGAGGAUGCGAGCGUUAUCCGGAUUUAUUGGGUUUAAAGGGUGCGUAGGUGGUUACUUAAGUCAGCGGUGAAAGUUUGUGGCUCAACCAUAAAAUUGCCGUUGAAACUGGUUGACUUGAGUAUAUUUGCGGUAGGCGGAAUGCUUUGUGUAGCGG